rnacentral:rRNA from 1 species
UACAGAGGUCUCAAGCGUUUGUUCGGAUUCAUUGGGCGUAAAGGGUGCGUAGGCGGCGCGGUAAGUCGGGUGUGAAAUCUCGGAGCUUAACUCCGAAACUGCAUUCGAUACUGCCGUGCUUGAGGACUGGAGAGGAGACUGGAAUUUACGGUGUAGCGGUGAAAUGCGUUGAGAUCGGAAGGAACGCCCGUGGCGAAAGCGAGGUCCUGGACGCCUACUGAACGCUGAGACGCGAAAAGCCAGGGGGAGCGAACGGGG